rnacentral:rRNA from 1 species
UACAGAGGGGGCAAGCGUUGUUCGGAAUUACUGGGCGUAAAGGGCGCGUAGGCGGCCUGUUAAGUCGAACGUGAAAUCCCCGGGCUCAACCCGGGAACUGCGUCCGAAACUGGCAGGCUCGAAUUCGGGAGAGGGAUGCGGAAUUCCAGGUGUAGCGGUGAAAUGCGUAGAUAUCUGGAGGAACAUCGGUGGCGAAGGCGGCAUCCUGGACCGAUAUUGACGCUGAGGCGCGAAAGCGUGGGGAGCAAACAGG